rnacentral:lncRNA from 1 species
UCCGCCAUCAAUAACUCUGGAAAUGACACCCCUCUAUUCUGCAAAAGACAGUAAUCUCCCUUUAAUUAGACAAACCCUCUACAAGGGAUGCAUGCAUGAUUUAAGCGCAUCUCAGACGAGAUGAAUGCAAUUUCCUUUCAUUCUAAUAAUCUUCUAUUAACACAAUGAAAAGACAAGGCUGUACCACAUGCAACAUUAUAGUGCAUACAGUAGAUUCACCAUGGAUCCAAUCCUUUGCUGCACCCUAUCACAGUGAUAGUUUUACAGCAUCAGAUUGUUCUUUAAUGGAUAUUGGCCACAAGCUCUAUAUAUAAAACAUCUUGCACUCAUUUUCUGUCUGUUAAUCAGUUCAAUUUGCUGCCUUCAGAGUAUGCUCUCUAUCUGGCCUAUGCCCUUUACCCCUCACCCUUGGAUUUCUUUCAAAUAAUCACAAACUAACAAUGACAACUGUUAUCAGAAAAUAUCUGUGUUCCUUCAUUAUUAUUAUUUUUAAACUGGAACUUAUUGUUAGUCUUAAUUACUGUCAAUGUGAAUGCUUCAUUUAUAUGCUAGAUGAAUGUGGUAAACUAGGAAGUGUAUUGACACUUUUUGACUGACUUGCGUGUAAAUUGACAGGGAACUAGAUGAAAAGAUGAGAGAUGCAUUUCACAGUUACAUAGAGGAACGAGGUGUAAAUGAUAGCCUCUUCAAAUUUCUUCAAGCAUGGCUAUAUGUGAAGGAACAUCGAAAUUUAAUGCGUUGGUUCAAAACGAUGGGCUUGUUCAUUGAUGGAAAGAAGCAAGCCGUAGAUGCAUAAUUUUCUCAUCUUGCAGAGGGCAUGUAUUUUUCCUAUGAGAUCCAACAGUCAGCAAUUAAUUUAUUCAAAACUCUUAGAAUUCUGACUACUUUUAAAGGAAUGAGCAAGAAGAGCAAUUUUCAUUUUUCAUCUACUAGAGGAUGGGCAUAAUAUUAUAGUAAAUCCGUUUUAUUUUUCUUUAUCCUUACUAUUACAUAGGGGAAAAGAAAAGUUGCAUUCAAAUGUGUGUAAACAACAACUUUAAAAGGUGGACAUCCAAUUAUUUCCAUACCAACUUUUUCUAUAACUCCUCUAAAAAAACUUGUUAUUGCUAUUUCGUUCAAACUUGUUUUUGUCACAUGAGAAAAGGAAAGCAAAAUAAAGGAGACACUAAGGCCAAGUCAAAUCACUAAAGCCAGUAGCAGGAUCAUCAAGAGCAAACCAAAGAAGAGCCUUGAGAAACUUCCAACUAAGGUAGUCUAUGCAAAAAUUGUCUUCUCUGAUUGAAAGAAUAAGGCAACCUUGAGAAGAAAGAUCUUUAGUAUCACGAAUUACAAACACAUAGAUGAAAACUCAAAUCACUUGAGAGGAUCAAGGCUAGGACAAAGAGACAAUAUGAGUAAAGAUCACACCUCUAUAACCAAGAGACCAAGUAAUAUACAAUCCAUGAAAAAUGUCAAGAAACUCAACAAUCUUGCUUGAAAUCCCAGAGUAACCAACCAACUCCUGAGUUCUACUAAUUCCACCAAAACCUUAUAUACCAGAUUUCUAGUAAUUAUACCAUAAACAUUUAAGGUAAUUGCAAUUGCAAUUUCCCUUUGAUGGAUGCCAC